rnacentral:rRNA from 1 species
AUUGAACGCUGGCGGCAGGCCUAACACAUGCAAGUCGAGCGGAUGAAGGGAGCUUGCUCCUGGAUUCAGCGGCGGACGGGUGAGUAAUGCCUAGGAAUCUGCCUGGUAGUGGGGGAUAACGUCCGGAAACGGGCGCUAAUACCGCAUACGUCCUGAGGGAGAAAGUGGGGGAUCUUCGGACCUCACGCUAUCAGAUGAGCCUAGGUCGGAUUAGCUAGUUGGUGGGGUAAAGGCCUACCAAGGCGACGAUCCGUAACUGGUCUGAGAGGAUGAUCAGUCACACUGGAACUGAGACACGGUCCAGGCUCCUACGGGAGGCAGCAGUGGGGAAUAUUGGACAAUGGGCGAAAGCCUGAUCCAGCCAUGCCGCGUGUGUGAAGAAGGUCUUCGGAUUGUAAAGCACUUUAAGUUGGAAGGAAGGGCAGUAAGUUAAUACCUUGCUGUUUUGACGGUACCAACAGAAUAAGCACCGGCUAACUUCGUG